CAGCUUUCCGGGUUUAUUGAAGGUAAUUGUUUGAGAAUUUCAUACUCUUUUGGGGCUCCUUUUUAUGUGCUUAGUUUAUCGGUGAUUUGGUGUAAGUGAUUUCCUCAAAACUUUCUAUGCUGUUUAUACGAAUUCAAUUCCCAUUUCUGAUUUCUACGGGAAUUUCUGUCUCCUGCACUGGUUUUAAUAUUUCAUUGAAUGGAAUUCUUAUUUGGCAGAUGCAUUUAAGAUUCUGUCUGAGUUUGUUGCAUUAUUAUAGUAAAUUUACUGCAGAUGUUAAUGCACUUUCUCAAACUUUUAGUAAGAUCAAUGUGAUUUGUUGGAAUUGCUGAGAAUUUUUUGUGGAUUGAAAUGUGUUAUUUUGGGAAUUCAAUUUCCUAUGGAGCUUAUUUCUUAAAGAUAGAAAAAUCAUCCCCUGGUUUAUUGAGAACUAGCGUUCAUUUGAUGGAUUUUUUUUUAAAUGCUUAUGUAUUUCAGAAGAAGUCCAUGUUCUUCUGAAAUUAUUGAGUCUGGAUUGGCAUUCUGGAAUAAUACAUUACGAAUUUUAAUGUUAGCAAAUGCAGCAUCUAUAUGGUAAGAAUUACUUGUUUUCUAUUCUUAUGGGCAUUAAAUAUGAUUUUAUAUAUUAUUUUUGAUAUUCUGAUUAUAACAAUUCUAAUACCCAUUCAAGAACUUCUAGAGUGCUGUUUGAUUGGUGCUAAAUGUUGAGGCUUUUGGUUUAAGCUUUCGAGUUGUCCUGGACAUCUCCUACAACUGGUCAAUUAUUGCUAACGCUCUUCUUCUUAAUACGUUACUGUCUUACUUUGGCUGCCAACAAGGAUUAAGCUGGAGAUCGACAUUUUUUCCGUUGAUUGUUUCAAAAAGAAGGGUAAAAAGUGACGUAAGCUUAUUGUUUUUGGAAUAAAUGGUGAAUUAAUUUCGCACCUUUAUUGUCUAGGUAAGCAUGUAGUGUGAUUAUUUAGUAGAUUCUUGUGUGAAUUUUGAGUCCUUUCUCCAUAUGAAUUUUUUACUUAGUGUCUCUUGUUUGAUCUCCAAAUUAUUUAAAUUCUCCUGGGAAGUUAGACUUUCAGUCUUUUAGGAAUUUCCUUAUUGGUAAACUUGCUUACUUGGUUAAGGUCGUAUCAUGGGAAGUUAAAACUUGAAUUUUAAGACAAGCUAAAUGGCCAAAUGAUUGGCAAAUUUAACUAUUUAUUUCUUAUGGGAGCUGCAGACAGUAACACUUUUAAUUACUUCUAUGGUAGCAGGCUAAUUGAAUGUGCGCUAUGUGGCAAAGUAUUGGUUAGAAACUGUUUUGUAUUAGUUUUAGGGGAAGAGGGAGGAAGCCAACUGAUGACAGCAUUGCUAAUAAUUGAUAAUUCUUGAGUUGGAGAGUAAAUAAAAGAUUGGAAAAAGAAAGUGAAGUGAAAAUAGCAAGGGUCAUGGCAAAAUUUAUCUUGCUAGGCUGCCAUAAUAUAUUGUCUUUAGCGUUGGUUGUGGAAGUGCUGGUUUUGAGGAAUGGUAUUAUACAACCAUAUAACAGAAGCAUAAGAACAUAUGGAUACACAUAUCAAAUGAACUCCUCUUUUUGUUCUUUAUGAUGUACAGAGACGGUUUCCUCCCUGGAAAAAAUUUGCCUCAUACAGAAGCCUGUGGUAUGUAAACUGAGAAGAUAUCGGCCUACUUGUCAUCCACCAUGAGAAAAAAGCUAAUCAGCCUGAUGUUGGCUUAUCAAUCUAUUGCUUAACCAUAGAAAAUGUGGAGGAACCUACUAGUGUAUUACCGUUCUUAUUAGAAGUCAAUUUCUUUUCAUGAAAGUUGAUGGAAUCUUGGCUUGGGCUUUGGGGAUGAAAAAGAGAAUGUUUAUUGCUGACAUGGGAAACUGUGCCAAUUAUUUUAUUUUUACUAUUUGGAUGGAGUGAAAUCGAGUAAUAGACAUAUUUUCUAUAACAUUUAGUCUUUCUUAAAAUGAGAUCGUGUCUCCCUUGGAGUUGUCUGUGUAGUGAAUAGGACCAUGUAUACAGUCUCUUUUCUUGUGUGGUUCUCUUGUAUUCUUCUUUUGUUAAAGCCGGAACAAUAAGUCCAAUGAUUGAUGUUCACAUGUAUUCAUAUAGAGUGCACGUUUAAUGGAUAAUUUCGCACUUACCCUUGCUUUGUCAUUUUUUCACCUAAGUUGGAAUGAAUGUUUUCGGUUGCUUGGAUGGUUUAGGUGUUGUGUUGCCUCGUGUAUGCUAAACUUUGAUCGUAUCUGUUGCUAGAUGUAUUUUGAGAUGGUGCUAGAGUUACGGUGAAAGCUUUACUGAUUUUUUCCUUCUUUUAUUCUAUUUUUUUGUUUUUAUUUUUAUUUUUAUU
rnacentral:misc_RNA from 1 species